AGCUUUGCACAGUGGCAGUAUCGUAGCCAAUGAGGUUUAUCCAAGGCACGAUUAAUGCUAACUGAUUUCUGAAAAAAUAGUCUU
ensembl:snRNA U4 U4 spliceosomal RNA